AUGGCGACCCGAGAGGCAGGCAAGAAGAUGAUCAUGCUCAAGUCACCCGACGGCAUGGAGUUCGAGGUGGAGGAGGCAGUCGCCAUGGAGUCGCAGACUAUUCGCAAAAUGAUCGAGGAUGACUGCGCCGACACAGCCAUUUUGAUCCCCAACAUCAACUCCAAGAUCCUCUCCAGGGUCAUCGAGUACUGCAACAAACAUGUACCGACCACUGGAGCCACCGGUGCCGCUGCGUCUGACACCGUGGCUCCCGCCGCCCUAGCCGAGGACCUCAAGAUUUGGGAUGCAGAAUUCAUCAAGGUCAAUCGUGCCACCCGCUUCGACCUCAUCCAGGCUGCAAGUUACCUCAACAUCAAGGGGUUGUUGGACCUGACUAGCCAAACGACUAUCGACACGAUUAGUGACAAUUCUCUGGAGGAGAUCCGUAGUUUCUUGAGCACCAAGAACGACUACUUGCCUGAGGAGGAGCAGACGAUCCGCAGGGAGAACCAGUGGGCAUUUCAGUAG
rnacentral:rRNA from 1 species